GACUGAAAAUAGCAGAAGUCGCUUCCCGCUUUGUCGACUGCGAGGCCUUCAUGGAGGCAGUGGAAGCGUUGGGAUUCACACGUGCUACACCCGCAAUAGAGCACGUGGCAUCGUUUUUCGUUGUAUUCGAAUUCCGGAAAGAAAGCAAGCACGAUGAACGGCGGUCCAGAACAGCAACCGGAAAUCUCGAGGAUCAUCCACAUGCACGGAAAAAGCAUAAAUCCCAGCGCCCGCAGCAGCUUGUGUCUUCGCUGUUGAAGCCCUGCAUUUACAAACGAAGAGGCUGAGUAAAGCCCGAAUGGAAGACGAGAAGUCCGCAAGAGUAGAAGGAUAAUGUAAAAGCCGAGUCCGUCAAUAUGUAGCUGCUGAGGAGAUGAACACUCAACGCUCGGUGGAAGAAUGACAAUGCAGAGCAAGCUCCAUCCAAACCCAAGACCGGGGUUUUCGGGGUUGCAGCCGCGCUGAAGCCUACGGAAGUGCUGCGAGAGUAACUUUCAAGAAGAACUGAAGCAGCGCCGAGCGGUCCUUAAUUGUUGAGCGGCUACUCAUUUGAUGCAGGUAGCAACUCAUAAAGAUGGAGUGGGGUGGUCCACCUUUGUUGAUUUAAAGUACCGACAGCUGUGCUGAAGAGGUGCGUGUGUUUCAUAUCUCUUCUGAUGUUUCCUUUUCCGCGUCGCCGCGUCACCGUGGGCUUCCGCGACUGCAGCGUCAGUGUGAACGGCUGAAUUCUGUGUGAGUAGGCAAUCACGUAUCCAAGCUUUGAUUGUAGUAUCCACCACAAUGUUUUUACGUAUGCAUACAUACACACCCAUGUAUGCAGUGAGACGCAGGUCUCAGGACACGAACACGUGGAAUCGUUAAACUCAGUUGGCCUGGCACGUCCUCCUUCGGUGUCACAAACGCUUCCUCGUUUUAUACGCUCGUCAUCAAGAGCAACUUACCAUUUUGAAUCUCCCUCGUCACAGCAGGCUUUUUGUUUUGUA